rnacentral:rRNA from 1 species
AUGAACGCUGGCGGCGUGCCUAACACAUGCAAGUCGAACGGAGAUACGAUGUGAGCGAGAGGUGCUUGCACUGAUUAAUCUUUCGUAUCUUAGUGGCGGACGGGUGAGUAACGCGUGGGUAACCUGCCUCAUACAGGGGGAUAACAGUUGGAAACGACUGCUAAUACCGCAUAAGCGCACAGUACCGCAUGGUACCGUGUGAAAAACUCCGGUGGUAUGAGAUGGACCCGCGUCUGAUUAGCUAGUUGGUGGGGUAACGGCCUACCAAGGCGACGAUCAGUAGCCGACCUGAGAGGGUGACCGGCCACAUUGGGACUGAGACACGGCCCAAACUCCUACGGGAGGCAGCAGUGGGGAAUAUUGCACAAUGGGGGAAACCCUGAUGCAGCAACGCCGCGUGAGUGAAGAAGUAUUUCGGUAUGUAAAGCUCUAUCAGCAGGGAAGAAAAUGACGGUACCUGACUAAGAAGCCCCGGCUAACUACGUG